rnacentral:rRNA from 1 species
UACACACCGCCCGUCACGCCAUGGAAGUGGGUUCCACCAGAAGUAGUUAGCCUAACCGCAAGGAGGGCGACUACCACGGUGAGAUUCAUGACUGGGGUG